AGGAGGGAGAGAUUGGCUCUCUGUGUGGCCCUGGCUGUCCUGGAACGCACUCUGUAGACCAGACUGGCUUCCACCUCAGAGAUCAGACUGCUUCUGCCUCUGCUGAGAUUAAAGGCACAAGCCACAACGCCUGGCCAAGGCCAGGACUUUUAGGUCUGAGGGAAAAGGCUUGUGGCCUGAACUGUUGGGAGAGGGAGGAGAGUGAAGACCAGAACUCCUGGUGUGAGAGGCUCAUAUCCUACCCAGUUAGGGAGCAAGGUUGGAGUCCCAAUUUUCUAGUUUGAGAGAGGGCUGGGGCCAGGCCCCCUGUAUCUGAGGGUCUGGAUCCUGUCUGAGGGAGGAGGCUGGGAUCAGGACCCCUGGUCUGAAGGAGGGGACUAUUUCACUGGCACCUGUCCCACAAACUCAUAUUCAGUGUCUUCAACCACAGAAACUUACUGCUUCACAGUUUUGGAGGCUAGAGGACCAAGACCACCGACAUGAGUAUCUGGGAAAGUCUUCCGUGGUGUUGCCAGCCUGCCUCAGCCAUGCUUCAAACCUGCAGUUAUCCCUGUCUAUGCUGGCUCUCCUUGGGCUCACUGACGUUCACCUGGCUGCUGAACAUCUGACCUUGUCCUCUGCCUGAGGAUUUUACUGAGGGAGCUAACAGCCUGGUGCAUCCAGCCAUGACACAGAAGGCUCAGGCAUGAGUAGUCGGGGGCCAGGAGCACUUAAUAAAGGCCCAGCAAAUAAAGUCUA